AGGGGAGGGAGGUCAUUGCCAGUUUCCAGUAUGGGUGGAGUCUAAUCUGAGGCUUGAAUGGAGAACUAGAAAUUAACCAAAUGGAGCAGGAGUAAACAAGGGGCCUGGAAGAAGGCAGGACUACGAGUGAAGAUUCCAGCCAUGGUGUUUCAGCAGUCCAGGCUGCAAAUGAUGGCUGCCUGGAAGAGGACACGGGAAGAGGCAGAGCUGAGUGAAGGGAGUUUAGGAGGAGGCAGAGUGAAGAGGAGGGGUGGGAGUGGGAGCAGGGAGGAACCUGCGGUGGCUGCCAGUUUCAACAGGAGGCACACCCAGAAGGGUGGGAACUCUAUCUACUCCUAGCACUUGUUCCGGGGUGGUGCCCACCCUCAGGCUCCCGGCCGCCAACUGAGUUCACUAAAAGCCCCUGCCCUCCCAUCAACCUUGUGGCCCACUGGUUGGCAGUGGCAAACCAGUUCCACCAACAUUUACUAAGCAGCUGUUAUGUGUCAGGAACCAGGGGGGCUUCUCCCUGCCUCACCUAGGGGAGUUUCAACCAGAUGACUGAGAGGUUCCAGAGCAGGGAGGGGAGGCUGAGGGUCGGCAGAGAGAAGGGAAAUGCUGUGGACACAUAGCCUCUGUUCAGGCCCUCUCUCUUCCCCCAGCACCGGAGGAACCUCACCCCUGACCUCUCACCCCCAUGACAGGAAAGGUACAAGGGACAUCUGCAGGGCCUUAGACAAAGCCCCUGGGCCCCCACCUCUACUGGAACAGGCAGCCACCCUGGUCUCUUUCCAUUCUGCAAGUUCUGUGCUCCCUCUGCUGUGAGAUCUAGGAUGAAGGGGGAGAGCUGCCUGCAUGCUGACCCACAGGACUUGCCACCUGCAUCCAAGAGAUUCACUCCAUGGAAUUGAGGCGUUUUCCCAGAGGCUCUCGUGCACAGGGAGACAGAACUCACCACUGUCUGGGGAAUAUAAUUUCUUACCAGUUCACUAUCGCAGGAGUGCAGGUGAAUUAUAGGAUUGCUGUCCUCUGAGCCUAGAAGAGAGGCCUGCUUUAUAGAAAGGUCAUAUGCCACCUUCUUGAUGACUACAUGGUCACUUAGCCUUGCUCCCUGGACACCCUGCUCCCUGCCAGCUCCUACUCCCUGGAGAAGUCACUUCCCAGAAGGAUGCUGUUCUCUUGGUUAUUUGGCUGGACCGGGCUGCUGAGGGGAAGGUCUGCUGGGGAAAAGUCUGGACAAAGACAGAAGGAUCAACUGGAGCCCUGCAGCCCUGACAUACAUAUGCAUGAAUUCCUCAGGACCUGAAAGCCAGCUGUGUUUCCAGUUGCCAGAGGGACCUAAAACAGACCUCUUCAAGCCACUCCCUCCUGUCUCUCCCAAGAGACUGGCCCUGAGCUAACAUCUGUCCCCACCUCCCUCUACUUUAUAUGUGGGACACCUGCUGCAGCAUGGCUUACAAGCAGUGCGUAUGUCCACACCCAGGAUCCAAAGCAGUGAACCCCAGGCCGCUGAAGUGGAACAUGUGAGCUUAACUGCUGCGCCACUGGGCCGGCCCCCCUGGAUACUAUCUUUUGAUGCACCAACUUUUAAAAUUUUCAUGAAGUCCAACUUAUCUAUUUUUUCUUUUGUUACCUUUACCUUUGGUGUCAUAUCCAAGAAAUCAUUGCCAAAUCCAAUGUUGUGAAGCUUUUGUCCUGUUUUCUUCUAAGAGUUUUAUUGUUUUAGUUCUUACAUUUAGGUCUUUGAUCCACUUUUGAGUUAACUUUUGUAUGUGGUGUUAGGUAAGGGUCAAUUAC
ensembl:lncRNA